rnacentral:rRNA from 1 species
CGUGCAAAGGUAGCGUAAUCACCUGUCUUUUAAAUAAAGACCUGUAUGAAUGGCAAGACGAGGGUUUUACUGUCUCCUCCCCCCAGUCAAUGAAAUUGAUCUACCCGUGCAGAAGCGGGUAUAAAAACAUAAGACGAGAAGACCCUAUGGAGCUUUAGGCAUAUAUCAAAUAUGUAAAAAACCAAAUUUUUCCAAAUAGGCCUAAAAAAUGAGAAAAACAAGUAUUAAUGAUUAAGUGCCUUCGGUUGGGGCGACCACGGGGGAAAAUAAAACCCCCACAUGGAAUGGGAAAAAUAACCCUAAGCCAAGAAAAACACUUCUAAGCAACAAAAUUUUUGACCAAUAAACGACCCAGGGACACCAUCCCUGAGCAAUGAACCAAGUUACCCUAGGGAUAACAGCGCAAUCCUUUCCCAGAGCCCAUAUCAACGAAAGGGUUUACGACCUCGAUGUUGGAUCAGGGCAUCCUAACGGUGCAGCCGCU